GCUGGGGAAAUAUCUUGGGACAAUGUUCAAGGUAAAACGGCACAAUUUCUUUAGCCGCGAAACGAGGUCUACCGUUCUCGUCCGGUGCAGUCAACAUCGCCGUCACAAGACCACCGGUGCUAGUUCCGGCUAUCACGUCGAAAUAAUCAGCUACCCUCACGUGUUCUCCAUCUAGUUCCUUUAUAUACCGACAAAAUUUUAUUUUUUCGAAGAGUAAAUACAAAAUUUUGAUGAAUCAUAGUUACCAUAUGGUAAGAACCUAAUAUGAAUUAGUGAUCAUAAAUCGAUGCAGGGACUUAACUACUACAAAAUUCGCAUGGCGAGUUAUGAUCCUAUCAUAUGUAUCUACUAUCUUAGUAACUUGCAUUCUACUGAAAUUUAUAUAGAUAUAAACCUGAAGUUGUUUUUCGAGAUAGGCAAGGAUUACUCCGGCGAUGAUUCCUCUGACUCCACCACCAUCGAGGCUGAGGAUGGUUACGAGUGUUCCGCACGAUGGCGGCAUGUUUUUCUUGGAGGGCGAUUCGUUCUCCAUUAUAGUUGAUCAAUCUUCUUUUGAACUACAAGAUUUUGAAUCGAAAUUUGGUAGAAGUUUUGGAUGUAGAGGUCAAUAUAUAUAUACAAAUGCACAAUUUCAUUUGCAUAGAUUUAACACUAUUUGGUCAGACUUUUCUUCAUACAAGCUGAUAUAUGUUUUAUGUGGAAUAUGAUAAUUUAAAGCAAGUAAUAUUACCCUAUCAUUAAUUAGGGUCAUCGAGCUUGGGCUGUCACAAAUUAAUUUACGAGAAAUAGUUGCAAUAGAUAAAUUUGAAUUAAGAAACAAAUAUUUUCUUUCGUGGACUUUGCAAUUAAUCAAAAAUAAACAGCCAGAAACUGACUUUGUUUUUUUUUUGGAUUUUCUGCGACUCGUUUCCCUUCUGAAUCCACUAUUCAGACUUGUUCUAAAGACAUCUAUCAAUUGGAAACUACAACUAAUGCCACGAAUCAUAACUAAUAAUGAGUUAUUUGGUUUGCUUGGAGAUCAGUUAUCUAUUUACAUUAGAAAACCUAAUUGGUAGGAAUCACUUAAUCUAGUGUCUUAAAUAGUAAAACCCGUAAUACGUGAUUAAGUUUCAUCAGCGAAAUUUGAAGUUUUUCGAAAAAGUCAAAAUAUAUGUAAAAACUGUGUUUUUGUUUUGGGUCAUUAUUUCAAAAAAAUUAGGUUAGCGGAAAAAAUCCAAAACCAACAAGCAUUUAAAUAUGAAUUGACGUUAGCAUUAGUAUUUAAAUUAUGUUUUGACAAAAAAAAUAAACUUCACGUGUAGUAGUAUAUACUAAAAGAUAAAACUAUUUGGUCAGACUUUUCUUCAUACAUAUUUCGUGCUAAUCAUGAUUGUAGAAUUUGUAUAUUUCCAUGUGGAAUUAUUUUAAUGUAGGUUUAGCUUGAGCUGUCAUGAGCUAAAUUUACGAAGAAAAUAUAUUGUAAUAGAGUUUGAAUCUAGGACCUAUAUCUCCCUCCAUGUCGAGAGACUUGUUCUGAGUACACUUGUCAUAGAAUAAAAUGAUCUCAGGAUUAGCUUCUGGCCUUCUGCUGUUUCAUCUUAUUACUUGUAGAACUAAAUUUAGAUAACCAAUUUUAUUUAAAAAAUUUCAUCUCACAGCAUAUAAAGUAAUGGACGUCACCACGUAAAACAUAUGCAACAAACAAUUUCACACAAAAGCACGAAUGAUUUCCUUUUAUUUUAUCUCUUGUGAUUCAUUUGAUGAAUCUUUAAUCAUUGUGUCGCUUCUUAGUCUCCUUAAUUUCCUUUCGUCCGAGAGAAUUUUUGCAUACCUAUAUCAAAGAUCGAGAUUACUAAUCUUUUGUAAUGUCCUAGGCCCAGCCCAAUUUUGUUUGGGAGGCCCAUUAUUAAUUUAUUUUAUUUUAAUAAAUAAAAAAUAUCGAGAUUACUUGUAAUCCAAGAAGAAAAACAUUCAUAAUUGCUUAAUCACCUCUUUAGCUGUUCAUCAUUGGUAAUAUUUUCAGCAACAGGUUCAUAUACACCAGUGUCGAUGUUCAUUUGCAUGACUCUGUUUGUCAGCAUCUUCUCUCCAAUCUUUUGAAGAUUCUCCAAGUUAGACUUUGUCGCUAGAUCCAUAGUGCUUACAUCUCCUUCCAAUGUAUCAUCCUGCAAUUGUAAAUUAAACGAUCAAUCAGAAAUAAGGACAUACAUAUAUGUUAAUAUGUAGCUCUUACAUCGAUUCGGAGGUACUUGUCUUCAGAUUGUAGGGCUUUAAACACAACAGAGCUGUGAUAAUGGAUCAUGUCGCGGCUUGAUUCCAUGGUAAUGUCUAAUAUCGGAGUAGAUCCAUCGUCAUAUAACCAAGAUAUGAUCCCCCAUUUUGCAGCCUUUUUUGCGCUGUACUUCUCUUCCCUUUUUGUUGAUCCUGUUCCUAUCGAUAUAACGAGAAACCGGUCGAAACCUAACGGCUUGAGCUUACCCAUAUCAGGAUUAUUCUUCACAAUCUGCUUAGACACAGCUGUCAUGGCCACCAAAGUCUAUAACAGGAUUACAGGACCAAACACAACGGAGUUAGUUCUGUUUUGAUUUUCGAAAAUCUAAAGGUUUUAUCAAUUUCUUUGUAUUCUCUUUGUUUUUGAUAGUACCGGGUUAUUAGCAGUAACCGCGCCAUCAACGAGAUUAAACUCCGUCUUAUUGCCUUGACUGUCUUCGUUGGAAAAGUAAUGGGGAGGAAAGAAAGUGGGAGCAGCUGAAGUGCCGAUGCAUAUGUCUGAUACCUUGACAUCCAAGCUAGGGUCAACCAACAGCUUCAAAAACAGAAAGUGAACUAAUUAAGUUUGUUAAUUAGGAGCUUUAGAUUUUAGUCUAUACAUGUGUGUAGUGUUAAGAAGAGAGACCUGGUAAGAGGAGAAAAUAGUGGGUUGAAGUUUCUUGAUAUCGAAGGUAGGUAUAACAAUGUUUGUGAGGGUCUGGUGAAGUCUUGUCUCUCCAAGAAGCUUACUCAGAAGAUUUCGCAGAUACUUUCCGCUGUACUUUGGACCAGACAGAAGCUUUGGAAGCUUCGGUAACAGAGCAAGCACGCCUCUGCAUUUUUCAUUAGAAUGUUUUUUCAAUUGUUACGUUGGAAUUUGUUUAAUUUAUAUGCCAAUUGUUCAUUAGGAAAAAACAAACAAUUAUAUGAGACACCAAAAUACUGGUUGAUUUAUUCCUUAAAAAAAUUUAAAUAACGUUUACUAUUUUCGAAAUUGUGAACAUAAAGUUUUUCUAUUCUAAACAGAAAUACAAGUGUCUAAUUAUUAUUGUUUUUGUAAUUAGUGUGUAUAUAGAGAAAUAGAAUUUCUUUACGUGGGCUGGGGAAAUAUCUUGGGACAAUGUUCAAGGUAAAACGGCACAAUGUCUUUAGCCGCGAAAUGAGGUCGACCGGUCUCGUCCGGUACAGUCAACAUCGCCGUCACAAGACCACCGGUGCUAGUUCCAGCUAUCACGUCGAAGUAAUCCGCAAGCCUCGCCUCUUCUCCAUCGAGUUCCUAUGUAUACCGAGAAAGUUUAAUUUUUCAAGAAAAUAACUACAAGAAGAAAGAUGUUGUUUAAUUACUCUAUAGUAAAGAUCAAAUAUGAAUUCGUGAUCAUAAAUCGAUGCAGGGACUUAAUAACUACUAAGUAUAAAAUUCGCAUGGCGAGUUAUAUAUGAUAUAUCCCUUCUUAUCUACUAUCUAGUAAUUUGCAUUCUACUAUUAAAC
rnacentral:lncRNA from 1 species